rfam:Dipodomys ordii contig_14014, whole genome shotgun sequence.
ACCACUGAGCCACCUUCCCAGCCCUCUAUUUUCUUUUUUUUAAAUAUGGAAGGGCUGGGAAGGUGGCUCAGUGGU